UACAGAGAGUGCAAACGUUGUUCGGAAUUACUGGGCUUAAAGCGCACGUAGGCUGCAUCGUAAGUGUCAGGUGAAAUCCCACGGCUUACCCGUGGAACUGCUUGGCAGACUGCGAAGCUAGAGUGUGGUAGGGGAGAGCGGAACUCCUGGUGGAGCGGUGAAAUGCGUAGAUAUCAGGAGGAACACCGGUGGCGAAGGCGGCUCUCUGGUCCACAACUGACGCUGAGGUGCGAAAGCUAGGGGAGCAAACGGGAUUAGAUACCCCGGUAGUCCUAGCUGUAAACGAUGGGCACUAGCUUGGGGUCUCCCUGUGUGAUCCCAGGUGUAGCAAAAGUGAUAAGUGCCCCGCCUGGGGAGUAUGGUCGCAAGGCUG
rnacentral:rRNA from 1 species